UACGAAGGGGGGCUAGCGUUGCUCGGAAUCACUGGGCGUAAAGCGCACGUAGGCGGAUUGUAAGUCAGGGGUGAAAUCCUGGAGCUCAACUCCAGAACUGCCCUUGAUACUGCGGUCUCGAGUCCGGGAGAGGUGAGUGGAACUGCGAGUGUAGAGGUGAAAUUCGUAGAUAUUCGCAAGAACACCAGUGGCGAAGGCGGCUCACUGGCCCGGUACUGACGCUGAGGUGCGAAAGCGUGGGGAGCAAACAGG
rnacentral:rRNA from 1 species